rnacentral:misc_RNA from 1 species
UAGCUCCAUUAGAUGGUUUUCAUGCAUUCUGUUAACUUGAGAAUGCUCUGAGUGAAACAUACAAAGAUGUACUAGCCUAAUUUUCAAGCUCAAUGAUCUUCACCACAGAUGCGUCACCAACUUUCUGGAAAACAACAACUCGGUCAUGUGGUUUUAUAACACCAGCUGUUUUCCCAUGGUCUAGUGCAACCUUCAAUAUCGACUCAUCAGUUGCAUUUGCGGACUCAGCCGGAUGUCUUGGAUCUGCAAGGAUGGGGAAAAUUCCUCUAACAAUAAGAGACUGCCUAGCCUGAAAUGCACCACUGAAUGUCCAGCGCAGUUGGUUUGUCUUGAGACGAGGAAUGACAACAGAUAAAACUGGCAUCGGU